UGAACUUUAAGGCUUUAAGACUAACAUUAACUCAUCUGGUGGAGACAGAUGGUAUUUACUAUUUUCAAUGAAGAGGCUGUAAAAUGUGAAAACUUAAUACCUCUGGGAUGAGUCAUCAGGAAUGCUGGGUAGUGAAGGCCAUGUUCCAGUACCAGUUUCCCCUCAUGGAAUACACAGAAGGGAAGCUUCCCACUUUAGUUCCCCAGGAGGAGAAAGGCUGAAAUAAGCAACAUUGCAUGUAAGUCACUGUCAAUUUUGGAACUUGCUGAAACCUAAAGCUACUGAUGACCCUUCUCACCACCAGAGGGGCACUUGUUUGAGCCUGAAGCCAUGACAGAAGCAUGGAUGAUUAAGAAGUGGAGUGUAUAGAGUCCUGAC